rnacentral:rRNA from 1 species
GACGAACGCUGGCGGCGUGCUUAACACAUGCAGGUCGAACGGUAAGGCCCCAGCUUGCUGGGGUACACGAGUGGCGAACGGGUGAGUAACACGUGGGUGACCUGCCCCGCACUUCGGGAUAAGCCUGGGAAACUGGGUCUAAUACCGGAUAGGACCGCACCGUGAGGGUGUGGUGGAAAGUUUUUCGGUGUGGGAUGGGCCCGCGGCCUAUCAGCUUGUUGGUGGGGUAAUGGCCUACCAAGGCGGCGACGGGUAGCCGGCCUGAGAGGGUGGACGGCCACAUUGGGACUGAGACACGGCCCAGACUCCUACGGGAGGCAGCAGUGGGGAAUAUUGCACAAUGGGCGGAAGCCUGAUGCAGCGACGCCGCGUGGGGGAUGACGGCCUUCGGGUUGUAAACUCCUUUCACCAUCGACGAAGGUUUUCUGACGGUAGAUGGAGAAGAAGCACCGGCUAACUACGUG